rnacentral:rRNA from 1 species
CAGCAGCAGCCGCGGGAAUACCGAGGGUGCGAGCGUUAAUCGGAUUUACUGGGCGUAAAGCGUGCGUAGGCGGCUUCUUAAGUCGGAUGUGAAAUCCCUGAGCUUAACUUAGGAAUUGCAUUCGAUACUGGGAAGCUAGAGUAUGGGAGAGGAUGGUAGAAUUCCAGGUGUAGCGGUGAAAUGCGUAGAGAUCUGGAGGAAUACCGAUGGCGAAGGCAGCCAUCUGGCCUAAUACUGACGCUGAGGUACGAAAGCAUGGGGAGCAAACAGGAUUAGAUACCCCCGUAGUCCCUGUCUCUUAUAC